CCUACGGGUGGCAGCAGUGAGGAAUAUUGGUCAAUGGACGAGAGUCUGAACCAGCCAAGUAGCGUGAAGGAUGACUGCCCUAUGGGUUGUAAACUUCUUUUAUAUGGGAAUAAAAUGUUCCACGUGUGGGAUUUUGUAUGUACCAUAUGAAUAAGGAUCGGCUAACUCCGUGCCAGCAGCCGCGGUAAUACGGAGGAUCCGAGCGUUAUCCGGAUUUAUUGGGUUUAAAGGGAGCGUAGGUGGAUUGUUAAGUCAGUUGUGAAAGUUUGCGGCUCAACCGUAAAAUUGCAGUUGAAACUGGCAGUCUUGAGUACAGUAGAGGUGGGCAGAAUUCGUGGUGUAGCGGUGAAAUGCUUAGAUAUCACGAAGAACUCCGAUUGCGAAGGCAGUUCACUGGACUGCAACUGACACUGAGGCUCGAAAGUGUGGGUAUCAAACAGGAUUAGAUACCCGAGUAGUC
rnacentral:rRNA from 1 species